rnacentral:rRNA from 1 species
GUGGAGGAUGAAGGUCGUAAGAUUGUAAACUCCUGAUAGAGGGGAAGAAUAACUAAGUUUGGAGCUUAGUAUGACUGUACCCUCAGAGAAAGCCCCGGCUAGCUACGUGCCAGCAGCCGCGGUCAUACGUAGGGGGCAAGCGUUGUCCGGAUUUACUGGGUGUAAAGGGCGCGCAGGCGGAAUGGAAAGUCAGUGGUGAAAUC